ACUCCAUCUCAGAAAAAAAAAAAAAAAGAAAGCCUAGCCUCCCGGGAGUGCAGCCCAGCAGGUCUCAGCCUUAUUUUACCCAGCCCCUGUUCAAGAUGGAGGAGUCACUCUGGUUCAAAUGCCUCUGACGGUCCUACAGGGCUCAGACAGCCCCCAGGACAAAUUACCCAGCACCAAUGUCAGCAGUGCUGCCAGUGGGAGACCUUGCUUCAAAUUAAUCUUUCAGGACCAGGGAAAUGGGAAUCUGAGUUUUGGGAGGGGGAAAAAAUAGGUUUUCUAUGUUGUGUAAAAAUAUGUUUAUUAUCAAGGGAAGACCUCCCACCGAGACCCACUGAGAUUAGUACAGCCUGUAAUUCAGGCCUUUUCUGUGGUGAUUGAUUUAAGACAAGCAGAGAAUUAAUUGGUUUAAACGUUCUGACCUGAAAGUGAGUCUCAGUUGGUGGAUGCAUGUGUCUGGCACAUAGAAGAUGCUCAAUAAACAUUUGUGGAAUAAAUACAGGAGGGAAUGCUGGCUUCGGGGAGAGAGUGGGGGGCUUAGCAGCAAUGUCCAGCUGAGUUACAGCAUCUUUUUCUUUUCCCAGCUAGAGACGGCUUGGCGCUUGAGGUUUUAUGUUGUUUUCAGCCAGGGUGCCCCAGAAAGCCCGAGGAUCAGCCUGGGGGGCCCAGCCAGAGCAAGCCGAGGAUGAGGGGGUACCCAAUAACUGCACCAAGAAAUAAAGGAAACGAAUCUCCCAAAUUUCACAUCCUCCCAAGACACUUCCCAGCUUCAAAGCAAUAAUUAAAAAUGUUCUUUGGAGUAGCAAUUUUUACAUUUCAUUGCAAAUAUUUUCCCUUAUUCGACAUCUUUUUAAGAAACCCACCUGCUGGACAGGUGCGGUGGCUCAGGCCUGUAAUCCCAGCACUUUGGGAGGCCAAGGCGGGUGGAUCACGAGGUCAAGAGAUCGAGACCAUCCUGGCCAACAUGGUGAAACCCCGUCUCUACUAAAAAUACAAAAAAUUAGCCAGGCGUGGUGGCAGGCGCCUGUAGUCCCAGCUACUCGAGAGGCUGAGGCAG
rnacentral:lncRNA from 1 species